UACGGGGGGGGCAAGCGUUGUUCGGAAUUACUGGGCGUAAAGGGCUCGUAGGCGGCCAACUAAGUCGGAUGUGAAAUCCCCAGGCUUAACCUGGGAACUGCAUCCGAUACUGGAUGGCUUGAAUCCGGGAGAGGGAUGCAGAAUUCCAGGUGUAGCGGUGAAAUGCGUAGAUAUCUGGAGGAAUACCGGUGGCGAAGGCGGGUCUCUGGGCCGAUACUGACGCUGAGGAGCGAAAGCGUGGGGAGCGAACAGGG
rnacentral:rRNA from 1 species